CCAAGAUGUGCGAUUAGGAAGGGGAUUUGAAAGGAUAGAAGAACACCCUCAUUCUCAUCUUGAAAUUACCUUUUAUCCUUGUAAACUACAAGAUCAGAGAACACAAUACUGGGAAUAGACUCUACAUCUUUGAGGUGAGCAGUCAGCAAUGGAGAAUGAAAAUUGGCUUUCGAUGAGAAGAGAAAAAACACCUAGCCAUGUGAUAUUGUUUGUGUCACUCCAAAGGCAUGAAGCAAAGCGAAUAAAGGUAUAUGAUGUGCCUCAUCCGAGAACAGUAAUGAAAAUGUACUGUAUCAUAGACUACCAAGCAUUGAAGUAAUCUAAUACUACCAAGAAUCCAGCAUUGUGGGAAAAGAAGUAUACCACAGGGUUGUGUGAAACUAAAUUCAUCUUCCUGACAGGACUAUGAAAUAAACAUUACUAAGUUAU